AUUGAACGCUGGCGGCAGGCCUAACACAUGCAAGUCGAACGAGUGGCGGACGGGUGAGUAAUGUUUGGGAAACUGCCUGAUGGAGGGGGAUAACUACUGGAAACGGUAGCUAAUACCGCAUACUAUCGGAUGUGCCCAGAUGGGAUUAGCUAGUGGGUGGGGUAAAGGCUCACCUAGACAACGAUCCCUAGCUGGUCUGAGAGGAUGACCAGCCACACUGGAACUGGGACACGCUCCAGACUCCUACGGGAGGCAGCAGUGGGGAAUAUUGGACAAUGGGCGAAAGCCUGAUGCAGCAAGCCCGCGUGUAUGAAGAAGGCCUUCGGGUUGUAAAGUACUUUCAGCAGGGAGGCGUUACCCGCAGAAGAAGCACCGGCUAACUCCGUGCCAGCAGCCGCGGUAAUAC
rnacentral:rRNA from 1 species